GUCAGUUUGAGGGAUGUUUCUCUGUUGAUCGCAUGCCUAAACUAUUGUUUUUAUUAUAAUACUUAGAACAAUCUAAAACUAAAAUAUUAAUAUUAAAAUAUUUUUAAUAAGUUAUUUUAUAUUCUGUUAAAAAUGUCCUACCGAGAUCUUCGAAACUUUACAGAAAUGAUGAGGGUUUUGGGAUAUCCAAGAAUGAUUUCAAUGGAAAAUUUUUGUAAUCCAAAUUUUCCACUUGUAGCUGAAAUUCUUAAAUGGCUAGUGAAAAGGUAUGAUCCUGAUGCUGAUUUACCCAGUGAUAUCGACACACAGCAAGAUAGAGUGAUAUUUGUAAAGUCUGUUGCUCACUUCAUGAGGACUAAAGCUCAAAUCAGGUUGAAUAUGAAAAAGCUCUAUAUGGCUGAUGGUUACUCGGUUAAGGAGUUACUUAAGAUCACCACACUUCUCUACAAUGCCAUGAGAACUAAAGAGUCAGGAGAUGAUCUUGAUGAAGAUAGUUCUUCUAAUUUAAAGGUGAACUUGUCUGAAAGGGUUAGUGAUUUAAAAAGAACAAGGCAGUUGGCCUCUGAAAUAACUACUAAAGGAGCUGCCUUGUAUGACUUGCUUGCAAGAGAGCUUGAUCUAAAGGAUAUGCGGACAACAGUGGUUGCCAAGCAACUGGAUAUCACAGAACUUGAAGGAGAACUGCGAAAUGCAAUUCGAAACGUUGAAGAGAAAAUUCAGAAGAUAAAUAUCUUAAUAGAGAAUGUGUCAACAGAUGAAACAAACUUGGAAGCCAAGAUAGAAAAAAGAAAAUCUGAUUUGGAAAGAAACCAGAAACGUUUACAAGCAUUGAAAUCAGUUAGGCCUCCGUUCAUGGAUGAAUAUGAACAUUUGGAAAAGGAACUUGAGAAAACGUAUGAGGAGUACACCUUUAAGUUUCGUUGUUUAGCAUUUCUAGAUCAGCAACUCGAAGAGUUGGAGAAAGCUGAACGAGAAUAUAGUGAGGAGCAAGACCUGCAGAUAAAGAAGAUGGUCGAGAAGAUUCGUCAAGAAGAGAUGUGGAGAGCAUGUGAUCCCAGCAGUCUGGAGGAUGUUACCAAUAUUGAUCAUCUUGUAGCUCUUGCAAAACCUAUGGAACUGCAACCAACUGAAGUGAAAAGAGAGUCUGCAAAACAAAGAGUAUUUGGAUCAAUGACAGGAAUGGGCAAAAAAGAAAAUUUAGAUACUGACUCGGAUCUUGAUUUGGAAGAUGAUGAUGGCUCAACUGAUGAGGAGAUUAAGUUUAACACGAAACCUGGAAACAAGAAGAUGAUUCCCAGAACUUUUCUACUGCGGGACAGCGAUGAUGACUUUUAACUUGAGUGAGAAAAUAAAUGAACAUCACAGGAAUUAGUAGAUUGUGAGAAAAUAAACGAACAUCACAGAAAUUAGCACACAGGAUAGAAGAUAGUGAGAAAAUAAAUAAACAUCACAGGAAUUAGUACACAGGAUAGAAGAUAGUGAGAAAAUAAAUAAACAUCACAGGAAUUAUUUUAAACUCUUUCUCAACCAGAUGCAACUUUACAUUUUUAGGUACUUACUUUUACAAAGAACAAAAUGAUUUUUGAUUAGAGAAUGAUGAUGUAACUGUUUUAAUGUUGUAUUAAUACACAGAACAUAAACUACCAAGAAAAUCUUCCAGUACAUCCAGAACCUGAAGGUGUAAUUGUAUUAAUACCCAGAACAUAAACCACCAGGUAAAUCUUCCAGUACAUCCAGAACCUGAAGGUGUAACUGUUUUAAUGUUGUAUUAAUACCCAGAACAUAAACCACCAGGUAAAUCUUCCAGUACAUCCAGAACCUGAAGGUGUAACUGUUUUAAUACCCAGAACAUAAACCACCAGAUAAAUCUUACAGUUCAUCCAGAACCUAAAGGUGUAACUGUUUUAAUGGCAAGAGAGAAAAUGUUACCAAAAGUAAAAUCAUCUCAAAUAAAUGUAUGUACUAAUUCAGAAAUAACUUAAUUUUAUAUUCUUCUGGUUUAAAAAUGAAGGUGCAAAACAUUUUGUAUAAAGCAUUUUUGUAAUUUGUUAAUACGACACUAGGUUUACAAACAGUUAUUUCAAAGCACUAACUACUUUCUGUAGCAAUUUUAUUAGACUUCAUUAAAUGUAAUAGUUAAUUCUAUUAGUGAACAAAUUUUGUAUUUUUAAUUGAUAAUAAAUGUUAUUUAUCAGAAAUAACAGUAUGUUUGCCUGUGUUUUAAGAAAAUGAGAAUUCAUUGUAUUUUCCCUCUUCUAAGUAGUGAAAUGUAACAUACUAGAAAAUGUUCAUAUUACAAAAAUAAGCAAUUAAAUUUUAACGUGCUGCUCGAGUGUGUACAUUUAGGGUUUGAACUGGAAGAAACAUUUCUAUACAAGGAUUUUAGUAAUGAAGAAUAUGAUGUCAUUUGUUUUGACUGAACAAGGAAAUUUAUAUUUUAUAAAAGUAGCUUAAUACUGUGUUUGGAAUGAUAUUUUCUUGAAAUAAAAGUCAUUUAAUAUUUUCUUUUA
rnacentral:misc_RNA from 1 species